rnacentral:rRNA from 1 species
UACGGAGGGUGCGAGCGUUGUCCGGAAUCACUGGGCGUAAAGGGCGCGUAGGCGGCCUGAUAAGUCGGGGGUGAAAUCCUGCGGCUUAACCGCAGGGCUGCCUUCUAAACGGUCGGGCUCGAGCACAGUAGAGGCAGGUGGAAUUCCCGGUGUAGCGGUGGAAUGCGUAGAGAUCGGGAAGAACAUCAGUGGCGAAGGCGGCCUGCUGGGCUGUUGCUGACGCUGAGGCGCGACAGCGUGGGGAGCAAACAGG